rnacentral:rRNA from 1 species
CCUACGGGUGGCAGCAGUGAGGAAUAUUGGUCAAUGGACGAGAGUCUGAACCAGCCAAGUAGCGUGAAGGAUGACUGCCCUAUGGGUUUUAAACUUCUUUUAUAUGGGAAUAAAAUGUUCCACGUGUGGGAGUUUGUAUGUACCAUAUGAAUAAGGAUCGGCUAACUCCGUGCCAGCAGCCGCGGUAAUACGGAGGAUCCGAGCGUUAUCCGGAUUUAGUGGGUUUAAAGGGAGCGUAGGUGGAUUGUUAAGUCAGUUGUGAAAGUUUGCGGCUCAACCGUAGAAUUGCAGUUGAAACUGGCAGUCUUGAGUGUAGUAGAGGUGGGCGGAAUUCGUGGUGUAGCGGUGAAAUGCUUAGAUAUCACGAAGAACUCCGAUUGCGAAGGCAGCUCACUGGACGGCAACUGACACUGAGGCUCGAAAGUGUGGGUAUCAAACAGGAUUAGAUACCCCAGUAGUC